rnacentral:pre_miRNA from 1 species
UCUUAUGAAUGAACAAAAAAAAAUGGUUUCUUGUGAUGGAAGCUACUCCUGGUGAAGAUGCUGUGAA